AAUCAACGCUGGCGGCGUGCCUCAGACAUGCAAGUCGAACGAUUAAAGCUCUCUUCGGAGAGUGCAUAGAGUGGCGCACGGGUGAGUAACACGUAAGUAAUCUACCUUCGAGUGGGGAAUAACGUCCGGAAACGGGCGCUAAUACCGCAUAAUGCAGCGGCAUCGCAAGAUGACAGUUGUUAAAGGAGCAAUCCGCUUGAAGAGGAGCUUGCGGCAGAUUAGCUAGUUGGUAGGGUAAUGGCCUACCAAGGCUACGAUCUGUAACCGGUCUUAGAGGACGGUCGGUCACACUGACACUGAAUAACGGGUCAGACUCCUACGGGAGGCAGCAGUCGGGAAUUUUGGGCAAUGGGGGAAACCCUGACCCAGCAACGCCGCGUGAAGGAUGAAGUAUUUCGGUAUGUAAACUUCGAAAGAAUAGGAAGAAUUAAUGACGGUACUAUUUAUAAGGUCCGGCUAACUACGUGCCAGCAGCCGCGGUAAUG
rnacentral:rRNA from 1 species